UUCAUCAGGAACUGGGUCUGUAGGUAC
rnacentral:piRNA from 1 species